UUACACGUUUUGAACCCAGGGAAUACACCAUAUAUUGAGAGAGAGAUUCCAUUUUUCAGGAAGGGAGCACGAUCAGUAAAAAAAACAACAACAAAAAAAAAAGUAGCAGAAUUUUUUUUUUCUUUUCCUCUUCAGAGACAUCAGAUCAUCUUCUCCAAAAAAGGAUUCCUCCAUUUUUGGAGUUCAAUAGAAACAAAUCUCACGCUUUUACCAUCAGCAGUCACCGGUGCGACCUGAACUCCCUCCCGCAAGUUGUUGUAUCAGUCGCCGGCGAUCUCGGAAACCGAAGACGAGACCGGAAAAGAUAGGUGAAAUGACGUCAUUAUCGGCGUCGCCUCUGUGUUCACUGCCGCUGCUGAUGUAACCGAGCUCCCGGAAAUAGCCUCCGCCGGCGCAAGCUCUGGCGUCUCAGUUGGAAUUCGUCGUUUGUCCGUCAUCGGUGUCACGUCUGAAUCAUACGGAUUCUGUUUUGGUUUUUCUAGAGUUCAACCUCUGUUUUGGUUUGAUUCCGACCAUUUCGGGUUCGAUUUCGUCAUGUGCAGGGUCAACUUUGGUCUGUUCGGUUUAAUUCUGGUCAGUUCGGUUUAGUUUCAGCUCGUCGGGGGGGUUUGUAUUGAAUACUCUCAAGUCGUUUUCAUGGAUUUUGGUAUUUGAAUCGGAAUGUGAAUUCGGGUUUUGUACCGAAUUGGUUCGUCGUUGAGGUUCUCUAUUCAGGAUUUCAGGUCCGGGUUCUCUUAAACAUUAUUAUUAUCAACAAAUCUGUUCUUCGAAGUGCAUGAUGAAGAAGUUUAUUAUCUUGAUGCUGCAGAAGAUGACGAUGAUGAUGAUUCAGAUGUUGAUGUUGCAGAAGAUGAUGAUAAUGAAGAUUUUGAUGCUGAUGCUACAGAACAUAAUAAUAAUUACGAUCGUAAUUGGUUGUUCAAUGUUCAAUGCCAGCCCUGCUCAUGAUGUGGGAGUUCUCAAAUACGCAGUAUUGCAUUUCUUAGGUCACCUAAUUUUGAGUAUUUGUAUUUGUUUUCUGGCUCAAGUAUUCAUAGCUGUUAUGUAAUCAAUGAUCUACUGAUGAGCCCAUCUUUGAAAGCCUUGGUAUGGGCCUUGCCAUCAAAUUGAAAUAACUGCUCCUCUUUUGAGGAAAACGUUGUUCC